rnacentral:rRNA from 1 species
AUUGAACGCUGGCGGCAGGCCUAACACAUGCAAGUCGAACGGUAACAGGAAGAAGCUUGCUUCUUUGCUGACGAGUGGCGGUCGGGUGAGUAAUGUCUGGGAAACUGCCUGAUGGAGGGGGAUAACUACUGGAAACGGUAGCUAAUACCGCAUAACGUCGCAAGACCAAAAAGGGGGACCUUCGGGCCUCUUGCCAUCGGAUGUGCCCAGAUGGGAUUAGCUAGUAGGUGGGGUAACGGCUCACCUAGGCGACGAUCCCUAGCUGGUCUGAGAGGAUGACCAGCCACACUGGAACUGAGACACGGGCCAGACUCCUACGGGAGGCAGCAGUGGGGAAUAUUGCACAAUGGGCGCAAGCCUGAUGCAGCCAUGCCGCGUGUAUGAAGAAGGCCUUCGGGUUGUAAAGUACUUUCAGCGGGGAGGAAGGGAGUAAAGUUAAUACCUUUGCUCAUUGACGUUACCCGCAGAAGAAGCACCGGCUAACUCCGUG